rnacentral:lncRNA from 1 species
GAGUACAAACGUACUCAACAAGUCCAACCCCAUCCACGGAGGGGGAUACAAGUAUAUGCACAGGUCACAACAAGGAUAGGCUAGAGUUCAUUUGCGGUAAAGCUAAAUUUUCAACACAUGCAGGGGAUCGUUUUCGAAAGGGUUUUUGUAAAGUUUUCCUUUAGUACCCGAAAUAUUGAGUGGGGUUGACCCUACACAAAGGAUCCAAGUUUUUAUCGCUAUCGGACUCCCCGUCCGCCAUAGCGCACGGCACAUUUGCCGGACUCUUCCAAAAUCCAACACCCC